CACGGGCACUAGUUAGCGCCACCUCCGGGAGAGCAGCCACAUCGGCUCCCUUCCUUCCUAUGAGCGGGGCGCUCCCGGCCCGCUCGGCAGUGCUAGGCAAUACCCCACCGCUACCUGGGCCCGCAGGCGUUAAUAAGCGGUGUGGGGGAGGGUGUGACGUUCCCCCCCGCGGGCCGGGCCGAGAGAAGCUCCGCCCCUGCCAUGGGGUGGGCGGAGCCUCCCACCUCAACCUCACCGUCCGGCUCGGGCGCCAUUUUGAGAAGCUCUUUGUGUGUCGGGGCUGCGAGAGACACUCGGUGCUUACCCGGGCAGCGCAGGGAGCGGGGCCUUGGCCGCUGUGACUGGCGCUUCCCCGGGAGCGCGCGGUGCAACCGGGCCUGAGCGCUUUUACUCUCUACCCCACGGACCUCGGAGCACAAAGCGCGCCGGUGGAUAUGCCCCUGUCGCUUGUUUUUUUAGUGAACUAGAUGAUUUAUUAGAAAAUGGUACAUGAAGAUGCUUACUGUUCUUCUGCGUCUGCGGAGUGGAUUACUAUGCUAUCAACGCACUGCUCCUAGUUUGGUUUAUUCGUAUUAUUAGCCCUACACUGAUGAUGCCUUAUGUACAGCUGCUAGACUGCAUUCAUUCCCUCCUUUCUCCUGAUUCGUUUCUCCUGAGAAGCAUCACAUCUGUUCUGCACUUUCCUCAAGAUGCUUGGUCAGAAAUGUGAGAGGAGUUGAAUGAACUGAUGUGACCCCAUUCAUUCUGUACUGUUCCAGCUGGGAAGUGUUGUGUAGUAGAGCAGCAUAGACACUUGGCUUGCCUCCAAUGGUACACUCAAGAAAAUUAAGGCCUUAAGGUAGUUGGAGCUGGUCCCAAGCCGGUUUUCACUGACCAGAUAGCAAAAGCAUGGGUCUGACAACCACCAAUCAAGUGUUAACACGGGGACCAAGAGGUCGGGGCAGAGGAAGAGGUGGCAGAGAUUUUGGAAACAAGGGACAGCUUUCAUAUGUCAGAGGGAAAAUGCGAGGCAAAACAAUUAAUGGCAUUGGGCCCAUGAGAUCUGUAUUGAAAACUUUCCAGACGUGGGAUAGGAAGAAUGCAUCCAUAUCCUGACCCCCGAGGCCAAAGAGGAGGCAGAGGGGGGCCACCUCUUUUAUCACUCCCACCCCUGAGAGGAAUGAUGAGAGAUCCUUUCUCACUUCCACCACCAAGGCAAUAUGAGAUUGUUUGAUUGGACUUGUCUGUGCAGACAUGGACUUCCUCCACCACCACCAGGACCAAUGGGCUUCAGAGGCAGGCCACUCCACCCCAGAGCCAGAGGGAUGCUGCAGAUGCCAAGAGGUCGAUUCACUCCACCAAGAAGCUUUCCCAAUGGACCCGAUGUACCAUCCCCUCCGCCACCUGGACGGGGCCAGAGAUGGCCUGGACCACCAGGUGGCAGACACUAUUAAAGAGGCUUAUUCUUUAAAUUGUAUAGCAGGGUGCUUUCUUGUUAUCUUAAAACCAUUUGAAAUGGCUGGACUAAGAACUGCCUAUAAAACGUUAAAGAUGGUAAAGAAUAUUAAUUGAACUUAGACAACUAAUAUUUUCCAGCAGCCCUCAUACAUCAGUUGGCAAAAGCCAUAUAUUAAAAAAAAAAAUCUGUGACUCCUUGGACUUUUUUCAAUCAUAUCCUUUUUAAGCCUAGGCUUUAUGGACACUGACUCCUGCACACUAAACGUAAAAGGAAAAACACGUCUGUUACAAUAGGUCAAGCCUUCAUUUAAUAUACAAAACUCUGAUUUCUUUUGACAGUUGUGUGCAGCUUUUUUUAGUGUAGAACGUGAAUUUGUUUUAAUGCUAUGACUUUGUGUGUAUAAACAUGAACUCUUUUUAAGGGUUUGAAAUCACUUACAAAUUUUAUAACAGUAAAUGCAGCCAACUGCUUAAUAUUUGGGAAGAGUAUACUGUACUACAUUUUGAAGUGUUACCUGUAGAGCCCUGCACAUCCGCGGGAAUCUGCUUUCUAUCCACGGAUAUCCACAGACCAUUUUUGCUGCUCGCAGCUCAGAUGCGGAUACAAAUUUUGUAUCCACACAGGGGUCUGCAGCACACACUCACCGGAAUGGAGAGGCUGUCACCCAGCCUGCAGGCUCCACCUCCGCGCUCUAAAUCAUGCAGCAGUGGGCUGAGCAUUCUGGGAGUUGUAGUUUACCUCCUCCCUCCAAGCAAGCUGGGGACUACAACUCCCAGAAGGGAGUAAGCCUAGCGCCAUUUUGAAGGUGUGUUUGUUCUUUAAAUGAGCAGGCGGUAAUAGCUGUGUGCAUUAGAGCCUCCGCAACUGCAUAGGGGCGUCCGUGCCCCCCACGGGAAGGGCGGUGCUGCAUAGAAGGGCCCAGAAUUGUAGCCUCCCUGUCAGGAGCGGGGAAGGAGGUACGGCAAGGGCGGAGCAGGGGACAGGGCAGGAGGUCUCUGGGGAGAAAUCAGGGAGUGGGGAGUGGUUGAGGGUUGGGGCUUGACACAGCCCUGUGUCCCUGCUGUGCAGUGACCUGUGGAUCUGUUUAGAGCCCUGCAAAUCCACGGAUAUCCACAGACAAUUUUUGCGGAUUGGAUGCGGAUACACCUUUUGUAUCCACGCAGGGCUCUAGUUACCUUAAACACUAUAUGUAAUGGUUAAACAGAAAUUUGUGAAUGUUAAUUUCGAAAAGUGUCAGUAGUUCAUGAAUGAACUUAAAAAACAGCUGUGGACUGUUUUUAAUGUUAUGAUAAUUGUUCUUUAUACACAGCUUGACCUCAUUGUUUAAAUGUCCAGUUGUGUAAGUAACUGUAAUUUCUAAACAAAGUGUGUAACUGAACACUUGACCAAUUGUAUAGUACAACUGGUGUAUGCAUUUGCAUCACCCACCGCAUAAAAUCAAAUUAAAAUGUCAGUUACUUCAAACUAUGCUAACACACAGUAUUGUUAAAAAUCAUAAUUGUUCAUGCUGUUAAACGUAUGGAUCACUGUAUAAUCACCCUAACAGUUAAUUUAACUUUGUUAAUGUGAAAAAAAAUAGAUUUCAAAAUAGUGAAACCUGUAAUUUUGUGUUGCUUGUUGCUGUUGAAA